rnacentral:tRNA from 1 species
AGUUAAAAGCAAAAGCAUUAUGUCUUGAAAACAUAAAAAAGAAAUAUAACUUCUAUUAACUU